rnacentral:rRNA from 1 species
UUGCUUCUCUUGAGAGCGGCGGACGGGUGAGUAAUGCCUAGGAAUCUGCCUGGUAGUGGGGGAUAACGUUCGGAAACGGACGCUAAUACCGCAUACGUCCUACGGGAGAAAGCAGGGGACCUUCGGGCCUUGCGCUAUCAGAUGAGCCUAGGUCGGAUUAGCUAGUUGGCGAGGUAAUGGCUCACCAAGGCGACGAUCCGUAACUGGUCUGAGAGGAUGAUCAGUCACACUGGAACUGAGACACGGUCCAGACUCCUACGGGAGGCAGCAGUGGGGAAUAUUGGACAAUGGGCGAAAGCCUGAUCCAGCCAUGCCGCGUGUGCGAAGAAGGUCUUCGGAUUGUAAAGCACUUUAAGUUGGGAGGAAGGGUUGUAGAUUAAUACUCUGCAAUUUUGACGUUACCGACAGAAUAAGCACCGGCUAACUCUGUGCCAGCAGCCGCGGUAAUACAGAGGGUGCAAGCGUUAAUCGGAAUUACUGGGCGUAAAGCGCGCGUAGGUGGUUUGUUAAGUUGGAUGUGAAAUCCCCGGG